CCUACGGGAGGCAGCAGUGGGGAAUUUUGGACAAUGGGCGAAAGCCUGAUCCAGCCAUGCCGCGUGCAGGAUGAAGGCCUUCGGGUUGUAAACUGCUUUUGUACGGAACGAAACGGUCUCUUCUAAUAAAGGGGGCUAAUGACGGUACCGUAAGAAUAAGCACCGGCUAACUACGUGCCAGCAGCCGCGGUAAUACGUAGGGUGCAAGCGUUAAUCGGAAUUACUGGGCGUAAAGCGUGCGCAGGCGGUUAUAUAAGACAGUUGUGAAAUCCCCGGGCUCAACCUGGGAACUGCAUCUGUGACUGUAUAGCUAGAGUACGGUAGAGGGGGAUGGAAUUCCGCGUGUAGCAGUGAAAUGCGUAGAUAUGCGGAGGAACACCGAUGGCGAAGGCAAUCCCCUGGACCUGUACUGACGCUCAUGCACGAAAGCGUGGGGAGCAAACAGGAUUAGAUACCCUGGUAGUCCACGCCCUAAACGAUGUCAACUGGUUGUUGGGUCUUCACUGACUCAGUAACGAAGCUAACGCGUGAAGUUGACCGCCUGGGGAGUACGGCCGCAAGGUUGAAACUCAAAGGAUUGACGG
rnacentral:rRNA from 1 species